rnacentral:lncRNA from 1 species
AUGGAGCCAGCAGAGAGCACAGGCGAGGCUGGGUAGCCUGGGGUGAAGGGAGUUGGUCAGCCAUGGUAUGUCAGGGAGAAAGCCUAGUGCUGGCAGAGGAAACUGCAAACAUGAGCUUCUUUGCCAGUGAAGACUUUAUGUAUUAUUUUUUGCUUUAUUCAGAAUAGUCUUUAGAUCUUUCUACAAGCAGGUCUUUUCUCUGAAUGUUAACAACGCCUAUUUAGUCAAGAUGAAAUAAAUAACCACAAUUUCUUAUGUAUACUUUAUAAUAUGAUAGACAUUUCAUAUUUCCAUUAUCACUGUAUUUAAUGUAACUAUUUGCCACAUAUGUUCUUGCCUGUGUGUGUCUUCAUGGAGAACUUUGAAGAACCAAUACAAAUGUCACUUUUACCUUGAAGAUUUUCUUUCUGUGGGCAUACGCAAGGUUUUCUUCUUAUUUAUAUACUACUCACAGAUGUCUGCCAUUGUAUGGUUAUCAAACUAACUUUUUUAAAAACUUAUUGUGCAUGUGGCUUUUGACCUAGAAUCAGUCAUUUGCUAGAUAAAUGAUUUGCAGUUAAUAUUUAGCCUUGAAUAUUUAUAUACCUUUAAACCACUUAAGCAUUAAGCCAUUUAAGCCAUUGAACAUGACACCCAUUGAGGCAGAUAGUGAGACUAUUCAAAUUUGAGGUAAAGUUAUGACACAAAAUAUUUACCACAGAGGUGUGGCUAUUUCCCAUUGCUAAUCCCAUUGCCAAAUAUCUAACAGAAGCAACUUAAGGGUUUAUCCAUUUUGGCUUGUGUUUUCAGAGGUCAUGAGUUUACUACGGAGGAACAGGCCUAGUGGACUGUUGAGUGUGUAGUGAUAGAGACUUAGGCAGUGGAUCUAACAUAGCAGUGGUCCAAGAAGCAGCAAGCAGGACUAGAGAUAAGGUGUGGCUAACCUUUUGUAGCUCUUCCUAGUGACACAUUUCUACCAGCCAGGCCCUGCCUUGUGCAGGCUCUGUGGUUUCUCCAAAGCUUGCCACAUAUGUGGGAAUAGGAGUCUAAAUUUAAGCUUGUGAGAGCAAAGUUCACACUUAAAAAGUUGUGUGUUCAAGAGAAAUGUGAAUUGAAGUGAGAUACCCUGUCCAGAAGAUAAGUAAGGUAGAAAUUGUGUAUGUUGGAGAUUGGGAAUGUCACUCUGGAACCUUCCUUCCCCACCGGACAUAGAUGCUUUUUGGAUCUGUCAGUUGCUUUCUCAGUCAGGCAGUAUCAGUGGUAGCAAUACUCCUUUUCUAAGACUGCCGACACAUUUCUUUAUAUACUUCGUACUGACUCUUGGAUUUGGUGGCUUGAAGAGCUGGUUAAAAUCCCAAAUAUUAUGUUAAGAUAGGUAUGAUCUUACUAAUCAAGUUACCCAUGAGUCAUUUCCUCUGAAAGGUACAAACAUAGGGUUAGAGAUAAUAGAUUACAUUUAUAGAAUGGCUUUGGUUUUCAAUAGUAGAAAAUUCUAACUAAAGGAAAUAAUUUUAAUUCACUUAAGAUGAAAUAAGUAACUAUUUUUACUUCAAAACACUUAAAUGCUUCAGACAGGGCAUUUGUCAUUGAAUACAGGAACACAAGGUGGAACUUAAUGCUGUUGUUGGCUAAGCAGGGUCGGUCUGACUCUGUUGAAGCUAUUUCCAUUUCUUCAAAUGUCAGGUGCUAUCAGUGCAGAGAAAAGGAGAGAGUGUUGAGUAUAUGGAAGCAAAGCAAUCUAUCGUGCUGCACCAUGACCUCUGAAAACACAAGCCAAAAUGGGUAAACCUUUAACACAAGCUGGGGGUUCCAUGGCCAGGAUGCCUCCUAGUGUUGUGUGCCCAGCACCAGGCAGAGCCUGGCUAGUACGGGGGUUGUUUAAUGAAUGAAUUCGUUAGAUAAGAACCAUGUUCCAGGUUAAAAAAAUAAUAAUAAAAUAAACUUUGUUAACCUAUGACAUAAAAUUUAUUGCUUUCAACUUAUAAUUAGUACAAGGAACAAAAGAUAGAUAAAACUAUUGCUUUGGACUCAUAAAGAUAGAUUAAACUAUGCUUUGAACAUGUUGAACUUGUAAAAUAAAGGAUAAGUAAAAACUACUUAAUUACGUAGUGAUUUUAAUAAAAAAUACCUCUCUUCAUUG